rnacentral:misc_RNA from 1 species
UUUCGAAAAUUGAAUUUAUUAUCCUAAAAUUACACAAGAAUUUAUUAUUCCUAACCAAGAAUAUGUUACAAGGAAAGGAGAGAGAUUACAAACCAAUGAAUAAAGGGAAGUCGAUUGAAGAGAACUAAAAUACAAUGGAGAAUGUUUCAAAGAAAAAUAAAAAGAGAAAAGAGAAAAACACCAAACACCAAUAUUUCUUUUUUUAAAGUUGAUACAAUUAAAGUUGUUCUAGAGUGGCUUGUAAAGCUAGAUAUACAGAUCUCCAUCCCUCCUGUGUAGGGUGCACUGUGUCCCAGAAGAAUGUAGCUUCAGGGUCAUCACAAACUGUAUACUUCUUUGCUCCAUUUUCAUCUACACUUCCACAAGAAAAGUUAGUGCUUAUUCCAAUGCAGCAUGGCUUCAAUGGAUUCUCAAACUUUGAAUCUCCUGGACGUUCCCCUUUGUUCUUGAAAACAGUCAUGAAUGCGGUAUAAAGAUCAAGAAUGAGAAAAGAAGAAUCCUUUGUCUCAUUAUUCAACUUAGAGACUACUUGCUGCAACAGGAGGUUAUGGUAGCUAACGAGCUCGUUUUGAGUUCCAUUGCAUUGUUGGAAGGAGGAGGCAAAGGUGCUUCGAGGAAGACAUCCUAAUGGUUGUAGGGCACUCACUGCUAUUUUCUUCACUCCCAGCCCUUGAAUGCGUUUCAAGUUCACUGUAAGCUGAUUCACCACUUGUGUAAUGAAGUCUAGCCAACCCUGAGCAGAGCCAUUUCUGGCGAUGUAAGUAGAGUAGUCAUUGCCUGAAAGAGUGACAAGGGCCACGGAGGAUUGUAGGUCAAUAGGGGUGUAAACUUUGUCUUUGAUCAGUUGCUGGAAGAAAUCAAUCUGGAUGGUCAUGUUCGGAUCUGGAAACAAUGUGUCAAACACUCCUGUCCCUCCAUAUGCAAAAUUCAUUCCAUAUUUUAACCGAUUCACUGCAAAAUUUCUCCAUCUGUAGGGGAUUGGAGACUUCACCCCAAUAAACCUAGCAAGAUAAUCAGUCAAAACACGACCGUCGGAGAAACGUCCGGCUGGUUUUCCAGGGAAGGUGACUCCAUAAGGGACUUUCCAUGAGUUGGCUAUGGAUUUCCUGUUGUUGCCUGUGUCUGCAUAUGAGUCUCCAAAAACAAAGAGCUUGCUUGGCUUAAAAUUAAAGAGGUGGCGGUGUGUAUGGUGGUGGUGGUGGUGGCUGUCACCAGAUGACCCAUGCACUCCUGUGAGGAGGAGGAGGAGGAGAUAGAAGGAGAAGGAGGAGAAGAGUAGCCUUUGAUGUGUGCCCAUAAUAGGAGUCAGGAGCGUAUCGAGUCUUUUGAAGGAGCCAGUCUAUUGCAAAAGAGAUGGGAAUUGUUAGCGGUGGAGGGAUAUUGAGAGGGUGACAGUGAUCAUAUAUAUAGUGGUGAAGGAUUGGUGGGUGACCCAGCUAGUUCAACGGCGGCGUACGCUUUGCGAGAAAAUAGGCCACUUUGGAAAUGGUAAAAUCUGUACACAUGUUCAUAU